rnacentral:tRNA from 1 species
CAUUAGAUGACUGAAAGCAAGUACUGGUCUCUUAAACCAUUUAAUGGUAAUUUAGCACCUACCUCUAAUGA